AAGUCGAGCGGUAGCACAGAGAGCUUGCUCUCGGGUGACGAGCGGCGGACGGGUGAGUAAUGUCUGGGAAACUGCCUGAUGGAGGGGGAUAACUACUGGAAACGGUAGCUAAUACCGCAUAACGUCGCAAGACCAAAGUGGGGGACCUUCGGGCCUCAUGCCAUCAGAUGUGCCCAGAUGGGAUUAGCUAGUAGGUGGGGUAACGGCUCACCUAGGCGACGAUCCCUAGCUGGUCUGAGAGGAUGACCAGCCACACUGGAACUGAGACACGGUCCAGACUCCUACGGGAGGCAGCAGUGGGGAAUAUUGCACAAUGGGCGCAAGCCUGAUGCAGCCAUGCCGCGUGUGUGAAGAAGGCCUUCGGGUUGUAAAGCACUUUCAGCGGGGAGGAAGGCGGUGAGGUUAAUAACCUCAUCGAUUGACGUUACCCGCAGAAGAAGCACCGGCUAACUCCGUGCCAGCAGCCGCGGUAAUACGGAGGGUGCAAGCGUUAAUCGGAAUUACUGGGCGUAAAGCGCACGCAGGCGGUCUGUCAAGUCGGAUGUGAAAUCCCCGGGCUCAACCUGGGAACUGCAUUCGAAACUGGCAGGCUAGAGUCUUGUAGAGGGGGGUAGAAUUCCAGGUGUAGCGGUGAAAUGCGUAGAGAUCUGGAGGAAUACCGGUGGCGAAGGCGGCCCCCUGGACAAAGACUGACGCUCAGGUGCGAAAGCGUGGGGAGCAAACAGGAUUAGAUACCCUGGUAGUCCACGCUGUAAACGAUGUCGAUUUGGAGGUUGUGCCCUUGAGGCGUGGCUUCCGGAGCUAACGCGUUAAAUCGACCGCCUGGGGAGUACGGCCGCAAGGUUAAAACUCAAAUGAAUUGACGGGGGCCCGCACAAGCGGUGGAGCAUGUGGUUUAAUUCGAUGCAACGCGAAGAACCUUACCUGGUCUUGACAUCCACAGAACUUUCCAGAGAUGGAUUGGUGCCUUCGGGAACUGUGAGACAGGUGCUGCAUGGCUGUCGUCAGCUCGUGUUGUGAAAUGUUGGGUUAAGUCCCGCAACGAGCGCAACCCUUAUCCUUUGUUGCCAGCGGUUAGGCCGGGAACUCAAAGGAGACUGCCAGUGAUAAACUGGAGGAAGGUGGGGAUGACGUCAAGUCAUCAUGGCCCUUACGACCAGGGCUACACACGUGCUACAAUGGCAUAUACAAAGAGAAGCGACCUCGCGAGAGCAAGCGGACCUCAUAAAGUAUGUCGUAGUCCGGAUUGGAGUCUGCAACUCGACUCCAUGAAGUCGGAAUCGCUAGUAAUCGUAGAUCAGAAUGCUACGGUGAAUACGUUCCCGGGCCUUGUACACACCGCCCGUCACACCAUGGGAGUGGGUUGCAAAAGAAGUAGGUAGCUUAACCUUCGGGAGGGC
rnacentral:rRNA from 1 species